GAGUCGCCGCCCCGUCGGCCCAUCGCGGGGACUCACGGCCCCGACCUCUCCGUCGCUGCCACCGUCAUCCAAACCAUGUGUUCCAUGGGUCAAAAGUGAUCGACGGCCAUCAGUUCAUCAAAAUCAAAAGCAGGCCAUCAGAGUCAGCGGCCACCGCCCGCCUCCCGUUAGUGCCGUGUCUCGCCGGGGUUCAAAACCACCGAUCCACCAUUCUCUUGAACAGCUGGGCAGAGCAUAUACGGGAGUAAACCAAGUGUGCUAGUUAUCUUCGUGGUCAAUUUGUGUGAUCAUCGUGAUCAUGGUUCUCUUACCGGCCUGAGAGGUUGUUGAGGUAGCUGUUUAACUUUAUUCUUAUGAAGAAUUCUUCGAUAUACCGAAAUCAGGCAAAGGGACAUCGUACCUAACCCUGUAAUACAAUAGAGUUAACAGAAGAGGGCAGGUUUUGCAUGCCACCGUUAAUGAUGUAACCGUUGUACCUUUUGUCAGCGGGCAAGUAUGUUGUCUGCUUGCUUCUAUUGCUUGGCUCGUGCAUGUGUUGGAUAAUCCUUUUAAAAUUCCAGGUGCCUUUCUUUUCAUGGUGCAUAUGAAGCUCUCAAUCAGUGUUUUAUUGAGCUUUUGUUCACAAUACCUAAUAAACUCUUGUAGUUAAUGAACUAGUGUAUAGAUCUCACAGUCUUCCCUGUGUUUCACGUUUGCUGUUGCAGAAGGGGUCUACGAAUUUACUGUUUUUAAAAAAGAAGGGGUUUCAAGGAGCUGGAGUGGUUCGCCGACAUGGACCUGUUCCACCACGAUCAUUCGCUCGCCGCCAAGAGGGGCAGAACCAUGCAGAGGUCCCAAAGCUCUUCAGCUCGCCGCAGCCCGCGAGCAACGCAAGCUUCUACAAGACAGUCGGUGUGCGCCAGAGCAAAAGGGCACGGGUGGAGCUGGCUAACGACGACGAGGACUACCUCAUCGUCCCUGAUCUUGGAGGAGAUAUCUGAAUUAAACAGUUCUUAACUACAAUAUAUAUGUGUGACGAUGUAGUAAUAUUCAUGCAUGUAUGCAAAGUAUAUACUAGCGUUUUGUUUAGUUGCCAAUGAACAUAUGACACUAUAAUACAAUUCGAGGAAAUAAUUCCAGAACGAAAUGGGUUUCAGGCA